UGAUGACGAGUGGCGCACGGGUGAGUAAUGCAUGGGUCAUCUGCCUCGUAGAGGGGGAUAACUACGCGAAAGUGUAGCUAAUACCGCAUACGCAGGAGACUGCAAAGGAGGGGACCGCAAGGCCUUCCGCUACGAGAUGAGCUCAUGUCCCAUUAGCUUGUUGGCGGGGUAACAGCCCACCAAGGCGAAGAUGGGUAGCUGGUCUGAGAGGACGAUCAGCCACACUGGAACUGAGACACGGUCCAGACUCC
rnacentral:rRNA from 1 species